rnacentral:rRNA from 1 species
AGAGUUUGAUCCUGGCUCAGGACGAACGCUGGCGGCGUGCCUAAUACAUGCAGGUCGAGCGAGCAGAACCAGCAGAUUUACUUCGGUAAUGACGCUGGGGACGCGAGCGGCGGAUGGGUGAGUAACACGUGGGGAACCUGCCCCAUAGUCUGGGAUACCACUUGGAAACAGGUGCUAAUACCGGAUAAGAAAGCAGAUCGCAUGAUCAGCUUAUAAAAGGCGGCGUAAGCUGUCGCUAUGGGAUGGCCCCGCGGUGCAUUAGCUAGUUGGUAAGGUAACGGCUUACCAAGGCGAUGAUGCAUAGCCGAGUUGAGAGACUGAUCGGCCACAUUGGGACUGAGACACGGCCCAAACUCCUACGGGAGGCAGCAGUAGGGAAUCUUCCACAAUGGACGAAAGUCUGGUGGAGCAACGCCGCGUGAGUGAAGAAGGUUUUCGGAUCGUAAAGCUCUGUUGUUGGUGAAGAAGGAUAGAGGUAGUAACUGGCCUUUAUUUGACGGUAAUCAACCAGAAAGUCACGGCUAACUAUGUGCCAGCAGCCGCGGUAAGAGUACUGGU